rnacentral:tRNA from 1 species
GCUAGGGCUCAGUGGAAGAGUGCUUGUCUCACAUGUUUGAGUCACUGGGUUCGAUUCUCAGCACAGCA